rnacentral:misc_RNA from 1 species
AUGACGCAGCAGUCCGACACCACCGCCGACUCGGUCGGUGAGGUGUACGACCAGUUCGCCGACGCCGGCGCCAGCACCGCGAUGGGCGGCAACAUCCACGUGGGGUACUGGGACGACGACCCCGAGGUGCCGAUCGCCGAGGCCACCGACCGGCUCACCGAUCUCGUCGCCGAGCGCCUCGCGCUCCGCCCCGACCGGCAUCUGCUGGACGUGGGCUGCGGCAUCGGCGUGCCGGCUCUCAGGAUCGCCGGAGCGCACGACGUCCGCGUCACCGGGAUCACCGUCAGCCAGCAGCAGGUCACCGAGGCGGCCGAGCGGGCGGUGGAGUCCGAUGCCGGGGGCCGGGUCUCCUUCCGGCUGGCGGACGCCAUGGACCUCCCCUUCGAGGACGUCUCCUUCGACGGCGCCUUCGCCAUCGAGUCGCUGCUGCAUCUGCCCGACCAGACACCCGCGCUCAAGGAGAUCCACCGGGUCGUCCGCCCCGGCGGCCGGCUCGUCAUCGCCGACCUGUGUCAGCGACAGCCGUUCACCGGCGCCGACAAGGAGGUGCUCGACGGGAUGCUGCUGAUGUACGAGAUCGCCGGGAUCAACACACCCUACGAGCAUCGCGCGCGACUGGCGGAGGCGGGCUGGGAACUGCUGGAGCUGACGGACAUCGGUGAGCAGGUCCGCGCCUACUACGGGCAUGCCGCCGCCGCGUUCCGGGGUCUCGCCGGGGCUCUCGACGCCGGCGCGGCGCAGCAGAUGAACGCGGCGGCCGACCUGAUGGAGGCUUCGGAGGGCAUCCGCACUCCGGUUACGUCCUGA